rnacentral:rRNA from 1 species
CCUACGGGAGGCAGCAGUGGGGAAUAUUGGGCAAUGGGCGCAAGCCUGACCCAGCAACGCCGCGUGAAGGAAGAAGGCUUUCGGGUUGUAAACUUCUUUUCUCAGGGACGAAGCAAGCGACGGUACCUGAGGAAUAAGCCACGGCUAACUACGUGCCAGCAGCCGCGGUAAUACGUAGGUGGCAAGCGUUAUCCGGAUUUACUGGGUGUAAAGGGCGUGUAGGCGGGAAAGCAAGUCAGAUGUGAAAACCAUGGGCUCAACCUGUGGCCUGCAUUUGAAACUGUUUUUCUUGAGUACUGGAGAGGCAGACGGAAUGCCUGGUGUAGCGGUGAAAUGCGUAGAUAUUAGGAGGAACACCAGUGGCGAAGGCGGUCUGCUGGACCGCAACUGACGCUGAGGCGCGAAAGCGUGGGGAGCAAACAGGAUUAGAUACCCCUGUAGUC